UAUGUCUGGUAAGUCUAUGACUAUUGUGUUCCGGGUAACCUGGUGACUAUUGACGNCAGCUUCCCCUUGUGGUUGCUCCCGCAAUUCCUUUAAGUCAACUUGCGUCCGUACUUCAGGCGGCAAACUUAACGGCUUCCCUGCGGCACUGAUGGCUAUAACCAAUGCAUCACGAUUGAUCGUUUACAGCUGGGACUACCCGGGUUCUAUCCGGUUUGCUCCCCCAGCUUUUUC
rnacentral:rRNA from 1 species